rnacentral:rRNA from 1 species
GUCCCCGCACAAGCGGCGGAGCAUGCGGCUUAAUUCGAUGCAACCCGAAGAACCUUACCUGGGUUUGACAUCACGGGAAAAGCUGUAGAAAUACAGUGUCCAUUAGGGCCCGUGACAGGUGGUGCAUGGCUGUCGUCAGCUCGUGUCGUGAGAUGUUGGGUUAAGUCCCGCAACGAGCGCAACCCUUAUCCUAUGUUGCCAGCGGUUCGGCCGGGGACUCAUAGGAGACUGCCGGGGAUAACUCGGAGGAAGGUGAGGACGACGUCAAGUCAUCAUGCCCCUUAUAUCCAGGGCUGCACGCAUGCUACAAUGGCCAGUACAACGGGCAGCGAUCUCGCGAGAGUGAGCGAAUCCCUUAAAGCUGGCCCCAGUUCGGAUUGAAGUCUGCAACUCGACUUCAUGAAGCCGGAGUCGCUAGUAA